AUACGUAGGGUGCGAACGUUGUCCGGAAUUACUGGGCGUAAAGAGCUCGUAGGUGGUUUGUCGCGUCGUCUGUGAAAUUCCGGGGCUUAACUCCGGGCGUGCAGGCGAUACGGGCAUAACUUGAGUACUGUAGGGGAGACUGGAAUUCCUGGUGUAGCGGUGAAAUGCGCAGAUAUCAGGAGGAACACCGGUGGCGAAGGCGGGUCUCUGGGCAGUAACUGACGCUGAGGAGCGAAAGCAUGGGUAGCGAACAGGAUUAGAUACCCUGGUAGUCCAUGCCGUAAACGGUGGGCGCUAGGUGUAGGGGUCUUCCACGACUUCUGUGCGUAGCUAACGCAUUAAGCGCCCCGCCUGGGGAGUACGGCCGCAAGGCUAAAACUCAAAGGAAUCGACGGGG
rnacentral:rRNA from 1 species